rnacentral:sRNA from 1 species
ACAUGUCUUCUUCUUCUUCUUCUUCUUCUUCUUCAC